rnacentral:rRNA from 1 species
GGGAAAGACAAAACCUAGUAGAGCACAAAAAAGCAAAGAUAAAUCCUUUUACCUUCUGCCUAAUGAAUCAACUAGAAAUAACUUUAUAAAGAGAACUUAAACAAUGCUCCCCAAAACCAAGCGAGCUACCCAAGGAUAUCUAAAAGAGCACACCUGUCUAUGUGGCAGAACAGUGGGAAAAUCUAUGGGUAGUGGUGACAAACCUACCGAGCCUGGUGAUAGCUGGUUAUCCAAGACAGAAUCUUAGUUCAACUUUAAAUUUACCUACAGAAUUAUAUAAUCUUUCUGUAAGUUUAGUUGUUAGUCUAAAGAGGGACAGCUCUUUAGAGCCUAGGAAAUAAUCUUUUAUAGAGAGUAAAUAAUCUAACUACCAUAGUUGGCCUAAAAGCAGCCAUCAAGAAAGCGUUUAAGCUCAAUACUUACUUACUCUUAAUUUUACUAACCCUACCGAACUCCUAAAACAGAUUGGACUAAUCUAUUGUUUAAUAGAAGCAAUAAUGUUGAUAUAAAUAACAUGAAAUUAUUCUCCCUCCAUAAGCUUAUCUCAGACCGAAACAACUACUGUUAGUUAACAGCCUAAUCACCAUAUACUAUAGCUUAGCUUUCCAAUUAACUAAACUGUUGACCCAACACAAGCAUGCACUCAGGAAAGAUUAAAAAAAGUAAAAGGAACUCAGUAAACUCUACCUCUGCCUGUUUACCAAAAACAUCACCUCUAGCAUCUCCAGUAUUAGAGGCACUGCCUGCCCUGUGACACAUAUUCAACGGCCACGGUACCCUGACCAUGCAAAGGUAGCAUAACCACUUGUUCUCUAAAUAGGGACUUUUAUGAAUGGCCACACUAGGGUUCAACUGUCUCUUACUUUUAAUCAGUGAAAUUGACCUAUCCGUGAAGAGGCGGAUAUGCCUAAAUAAGAUGAGAAGACCCUAUGGAGCUUCAAUUUAAUGAUACAAACUAAAAUCUUUUAAACCAAUAGGCAUUAACCUAUCAUCAAUGUAUCAUGAAUUUUGGUUGGGGUGACCUCAGAGUACAGCAUAGCCGCCGAAAAACACAUACUAAGACCUUGCUAGUCUAAGUAAAAACACAGCUAUUGACCCAAUAACUUGAUCAACGGACUAAGUUACCUUAGGGAUAACAGCGCAAUUGUAUUUUAGAGUCCAUAUCGACAAUAGGGUUUAUGACCUCGAUGUUGGAUCAAGACAUCCUAAUGGUGCAGAUGCUAUUAAGGGUUUGUUUGUUUAACGAUUAAAGUCUUACGUGAUCUGAGUUCAGACUGGAGCAAUCCAGGUUGGUUUCUAUUUAUUAAAUAUUCCUUCCAGU